rnacentral:rRNA from 1 species
CCUUAGAGUUUGAUCCUGGCUCAGGACGACCUUUGGCGGCGUGCCUAACACAUGCAAGUCGAACGGGGAUCAUGAAGCGGAAGUUUUCGGAUGGAAGGUUUAUGAUUCUAGUGGCGAACGGGUGAGUAACGCGUGAACAACCUGCCUUUCAGUGGGGGAUAACACCUGGAAACAAGUGCUAAUACCGCAUGAGACCACGACCUGGCAUCGGGAUGGGGUCAAAGAUUUAUCGCUGAAAGAGGGGUUCGCGUCCCAUUAGAUAGUUGGUGAGAUAACAGCCCACCAAGCCGACGAUGGGUAGCCGAGCUGAGAGGCUGAUCGGCCACACUGGAACUGAGACACGGUCCAGACUCCUACGGGAGGCAGCAGUGGGGAAUAUUGGGCAAUGGGCGCAAGCCUGACCCAGCAACGCCGCGUGAGGGAAGAAGGUCUUCGGAUUGUAAACCUCUGUCGCAAGGGACGAAGGCGUGACGGUACCUUGUGAGGAAGCCCCGGCUAACUACGUGCCAGCAGCCGCGGUAAUACGUAGGGGGCGAGCGUUGUCCGGAAUUACUGGGCGUAAAGGGUGCGUAGGCGGUUGCUUAAGUUGGAUGUGAAAUACCCGGGCUUAACUUGGGGGGUGCAUUCAAAACUGGGCGACUAGAGUUCAGGAGAGGGAAGCGGAAUUCCUAGUGUAGCGGUGAAAUGCGUAGAUAUUAGGAGGAACACCAGUGGCGAAGGCGGCUUUCUGGACUGACACUGACGCUGAGGCACGAAAGCGUGGGGAGCAAACAGGAUUAGAUACCCUGGUAGUCCACGCUGUAAACGAUGAA